GCGUCCAGUGAGAGGGAAGCAGUAACAGAGAGGGAAGGUGGCACAAUAUAUAAGCAACAGGUACAUGGCGGAGCAGGAGAAGAGCAAACGCUAGGGGUGUAAGAAGGCGUUAUGAUAUAUAACCAUUACCGCGCAGGAGUGCGAGCAGUCUUCCUAGGAUAGCAGAGCCGGCUUUUAAAUAGCAAUACGGACCGGCUGCGGACUCAGAGUUAUGCACUGGGCCCCCGUAUCCAGUAGGGGAGGCCGCGAUGUACUAUCACAUUACAUCCCAAGAACAGGACCCUCUCUAGCUCUUAGGUAGGCUGCACACGGGUGCAGAAAUUCCACAAAAAUUUCCAUGCGAAUUUCUGUGCGUUUCUGCACUAAAUCCACAUGUCUUACGUGCGGAUUUGAUGGGGUUUUGCACUGAAACGGGUUAAAUCCGCACAAACAAUUCACAUGAUGCUGUUUUCAAAACCCGCACGGCAGGUCAAUUUCGGCCUGGAG